rnacentral:rRNA from 1 species
UGGGGAAUCUUGCACAAUGGGGGCAACCCUGAUGCAGCGACGCCGCGUGAGCGAUGAAGGUUUUCGAAUCGUAAAGCUCUGUCCUAUGGGAAGAUAAUGACGGUACCAUAGGAGGAAGCCCCGGCUAACUACGUGCCAGCAGCCGCGGUAAUACGUAGGGGGCGAGCGUUGUCCGGAAUUACUGGGAGUAAAGGGUUCGCAGGCGGCAUGGCAAGUCCGAUGUAAAAGGCGAAGGCUCAACCUUCGUAAGCAUCGGAAACUGUCAAGCUUGAGUGAAGGAGAGGCAAGUGGAAUUCCGAGUGUAGCGGUGGAAUGCGUAGAUAUUAGGAGGAAUACCGGUGGCGAAGGCGACUUGCUGGACUUAAACUGACGCUGAGGAACGAAAGCGUGGGUAGCAAACAGG